GAUGAACGCUGGCGGCGUGCCUAAUACAUGCAAGUCGAGCGGACGGACGAGAAGCUUGCUUCUCUGAUGUUAGCGGCAGACGGGUGAGUAACACGUGGAUAACCUACCUAUAAGACUGGGAUAACUUCGGGAAACCGUAGCUAAUACCGGAUAAUAUUUUGAACCGCAUGGUUCAAAGGUGAAAGACGGUCUUGCUGUAACUUAUAGCUGGAUCCGAGCUGCUUUAGGUAGUUGGUAGGGUAACGGCUUAUCAAGGGAACGAUGCGUAAACGACCUGAGGGGGGGAUAGGCCACACUGGAACUGAGACGCGGUCCAGACUCCUACGGGAGGCAGCAGUCGGGAAUCUUCCGCAAUGGGCGAAAGCCUGACGGAGCAGCGCCGCGUGAGUGAUGAAGGUCUUCGGAUCGUAAAACUCUGUUAUUAGUGAAGAACAUAUGUGUAAGUAACUGUGCACAUCUUGACGGUACCUAAUCAGAAAGCCACGGCUAACUACGUG
rnacentral:rRNA from 1 species